UACGUAGGGGGCAAGCGUUUUCCGGAAUCAUUGGGCGUAAAGAGCGUGUAGGCGGCUCGGUAAGUCCGCUGUGAAAGUCCAGGGCUCAACCCUGGAAUGCCGGUGGAAACUGUCGAGCUAGAGUCCGGAAGAGGCGAGUGGAAUUCCUGGUGUAGCGGUGAAAUGCGCAGAUAUCAGGAGGAACACCAAUGGCGAAGGCAGCUCGCUGGGACGGUACUGACGCUGAGACGCGAAAGCGUGGGGAGCAAACAGG
rnacentral:rRNA from 1 species